rnacentral:rRNA from 1 species
GAGGAAACUUGUGCUAAUACCGGAUAAGUCUUUACGGAGAAAGCUUUAUGCACCAUUGGAUGAGCCCGCACUUGAUUAGUUUGUUGGUAGGGUAAUGGCCUACCAAGACUAUGAUCAAUAGCUGAUUUGAGAGGAUGAUCAGCCACAUUGGGACUGAGACACGGCCCAAACUCCUACGGGAGGCAGCAGUGGGGAAUCUUGCACAAUGGAGGAAACUCUGAUGCAGCGAUGCCGCGUGAGUGAAGAAGGCCUUUGGGUUGUAAAGCUCUUUCGUCGGGGAAGAAAAUGACUGUACCCGAAUAAGAAGGUCCGGCUAACUUCGUGCCAGCAGCCGCGGUAAUACGAAGGGACCUAGCGUAGUUCGGAAUUACUGGGCUUAAAGAGUUCGUAGGUGGUUGUAAAAGUUGGUGGUGAAAUCCCAGAGCUUAACUCUGGAACUGCCAUCAAAACUUUUCAGCUAGAGUAUGAUA